UACCGAGGGGGCAAGCGUUGUUCGGAAUUACUGGGCGUAAAGGGCGCGUAGGCGGCCUGUUAAGUCGAACGUGAAAUCCCCGGGCUCAACCCGGGAACUGCGUCCGAUACUGGCAGGCUUGAAUUCGGGAGAGGGAUGCGGAAUUCCAGGUGUAGCGGUGAAAUGCGUAGAUAUCUGGAGGAACACCGGUGGCGAAGGCGGCAUCCUGGACCGAGAUUGACGCUGAUGCGCGAAAGCCAGGGGAGCAAACGGG
rnacentral:rRNA from 1 species